rnacentral:rRNA from 1 species
UUCAAGAUUCUAAGAGCAAACGGUGGAUGCCUUGGCAUCUGGAGCCGAAGAAGGACGUCGUAAUCUGCGAUAAGCCUCGGGGAGCUGAUAAACGAGCUGUGAUCCGAGGAUUUCCGAAUGGGGAAACCCCGCCAGGCCCUUUGGGUGACCUGGUGACUCCCGCCUGAAUAUAUAGGGCGGGUAGAGGGAACGUGGGGAAGUGAAACAUCUCAGUACCCACAGGAAGAGAAAACAA